rnacentral:RNase_P_RNA from 1 species
GAGCGGGCCGGACGGCCGCGGGCAUAAGGCGAAAGCCUGUGCGUGAGGAAAGUCCGGGCUCCAUAGGGCAAGGAUAACGGGUAACACCCGCCAGGGGCGACCCUCGGACAAGUGCAACAGAGAUAUACUGCCGGGCAUCUGCCCGGUGAUGGUGGAAAGGCGGAGAUAAGCGCCCGCCCAUCGGCUGGAGACAGUUCGGUGCUGUAAACUCUAUCCGGAGCAACACCGUGGAGGGACAAUAGGCCGGCCCGGCCGUCCCGAGGAGGUGGCUAAAGCCUUGCGGCAACGUAAGGCGUAGAUAGAUGGCCGUCGAUCACAGAACCCGGCUUACAGGCCCGCUCG